UGCGUAGGUGGCAAGCGUUGUCCGGAUUUAUUGGGCGUAAAGCGAGCGCAGGCGGUCAAUUAAGUCUGAUGUGAAAGCCCCCGGCUCAACCGGGGAGGGUCAUUGGAAACUGGUUGACUUGAGUGCAGAAGAGGAGAGUGGAAUUCCAUGUGUAGCGGUGAAAUGCGUAGAUAUAUGGAGGAACACCAGUGGCGAAGGCGACUCUCUGGUCUGUAACUGACGCUGAGGCUCGAAAGCGUGGGUAGCAAACAGG
rnacentral:rRNA from 1 species